rnacentral:rRNA from 1 species
CAAUAGCGUAUAUUAAAGUUGUUGCAGUUAAAAAGCUCGUAGUUGGAUUUGUGGCGUACGGUGUGUUACGGGCACUUGUUGUCUGAGUAACCUGCUGUUGCCAUCCUUGGGUGGAACCUGUGUGGCAUUAGGUUGUCGUGCAGGGGAUGCCCAUCAUUUACUGUGAAAAAAUUAGAGUGUUCAAAGCAGGCUUAUGCCGUUGAAUAUAUUAGCAUGGAAUAAUGAGAUAGGACUUUUUUGCUAUUUUGUUGGUUUGCGCAAAGAGGUAAUGAUUAAUAGGGACAGUUGGGGGUAUUCGUAUUCCAUUGUCAGAGGUGAAAUUCUUGGAUUUUUGGAAGACGAACUACUGCGAAAGCAUUUACCAAGGAUGUUUUCAUUAA